AUACCAUGAUGUGGGCACUUCUUUAACAACUCUUUAAAUCUUUCCCAUGUAUCAUACAAUGAUUCCCCUUCUCCCUAGUAGAAAUUAUUGAUUUCCCCUCUCAACUU